AACGAACGCUGGCGGCAGGCCUAACACAUGCAAGUCGAACGAAGGCCCGGAGCUUGCUUCGGUGUCCUUAGUGGCGGACGGGUGAGUAACACGUGGGAACCUACCUUGCAGUACGGAAUAACUGUGGGAAACUACAGCUAAUACCGUAUACGCCCUUCGGGGGAAAGAGUUUAUCGCUGUUUGAUGGGCCCGCGCCUGAUUAGCUUGUUGGUGAGGUAAAAGCUUACCAAGGCUACGAUCAGUAGCUGGUCUGAGAGGAUGAUCAGCCACACUGGGACUGAGACACGGCCCAGACUCCUACGGGAGGCAGCAGUGGGGAAUAUUGGACAAUGGGCGCAAGCCUGAUCCAGCCAUGCCGCGUGAGUGAAGAAGGCCUUAGGGUUGUAAAGCUCUUUCACCUGCGAAGAUGAUGACGGUAGCAGGAGAAGAAGCCCCGGCUAACUCCGUG
rnacentral:rRNA from 1 species